rnacentral:misc_RNA from 1 species
GAUAAAGAACGUAGCGAAAUGCGAUAAGUAAUGUGAAUUGCAGAAUUCAGUGAAUCAUCGAAUCUUUGAACGCACAUUGCGCCCGCUAGUAUUCUGGCGGGCAUGCCUGUCCGAGCGUCAUUUCAACCCUCAAGCCCCCGGGCUUGGUGUUGGGGAUCGGCGAGCCUCCGCGCCCGCCGUCCCCUAAAUCUAGUGGCGGUCUCGCUGUAGCUUCCUCUGCGUAGUAGCACACCUCGCACUGGGAAACAGCGCGGCCACGCCGUUAAACCCCCAACUUCUGAACGUUUGACCUCGGAUCAGGUAGGAAUACCCGCUGAACUUAAGCAUAUCAAUAAGCGGAGGA